rnacentral:lncRNA from 1 species
GGCAGGGUGCCACAGCGUCUACUACAGCCCACCCCUUGCACUGCUCAGAUCCAGUCACUUCUCACAUUAAGUUUAUUUUAUCUGCCUAUUGUUGGGAAUGGGGGUCAUUGAUUUAGGAUGUAUAGGACAACCUGAAGGAUAGCACCCCAUAUCCUUCACACUGAUGAGGUAUUGCCUCCCAGUUGGUACCUCAGCUGUGUCUUUAAGAGGCAACUCUAUCCCCUAUAGACUGGCAGAUUCUAGAUGUUGUGAAAUGUGUAAGGACCAGUGGAUUUCACAGUCGUGUGCCCACUGCCAUGCAGCAAUCAUGGUGACUCAGCUCUCUUAGUCUGCAAUGAUGUCAACUGAGGGCCUAUGUCAGUGAAUCAGACUCUUGGUGAGCCAUAGUGCCAAUGGCCUGAGGCUCCAUUGGAAGGAGAAGUGAAUUCAUACCUAGAAUAUGCAUCCAUCCUGUCUGGGCAAAUCACUGCCCUUCCCAUGAGGGAAGGGGUCCUACAUAAUCAACUUGUCACCAAGUGGCUAGUUGGUUUCAUCCUGGAAUGUUAUUGUAUCACGGGCUCAGCUUGGGUCUCUGUUGAUGACAGGUUGGGCAUUCAGCAGUGACAGUAGCUAGAUCAGCCUUGGGGAGAGGAAGCCAAGGCUGUUAGGGUUAUAUAUAACUUCGUCAUUGUCACCAUGGCACUCUGUUCAUGAGCCCAUAUGGUGCAAGGACUGGUUGGAGGAUGACGAGUGAGGACAGAGACUGGCUGACGUCCACUGGCCGAGUCAUCCUGCCCACUUGGUUGUUUGGUGUUGCUUCUGCAAUGGAUGCUCUUUGGGGCCUGAUUUGGAUAUAGGAGACCUCCCUUGAUGGAGAAUUCAGCCUUUACUCAAGUUCUGCUGCUUUUCCAAUGAGUCCUCUGCCUGAUUGUCACUCCAUCUGCCCUCUGGCUGCAGAAGAGAGAGUCAGCCUGUCCUGGUGAUGCUGGCAGAAGGCAGUGCCUGCAGCUGAGCAGUGGCCGGUGGGUGUUCCAUUAUUUAAGGUAAAUCUUUUCUCCUCCUCACCUUCCACCUCCCUCCAAAAGGAGAAACUCCAGCCACCUCGGAGAGGCCCCAGGAGCAGGGGGCUUCUAGGCACCCAGCCCCCUACAGGCAGCACCCUGCAGCCUCCCCCACACCGCCGGCUCCUGCACACACAUGCCCCUCACUCUCCUGACACCCGGAUACAUCUGAGUGGAGAUCUCUGGGGUGCCGGCCCGGCCCUUCUUCCCUCUGUGGACAGUCCCUGUGGAGGAAAGGCCAUGACAGCCACAUUUGCUUUCCCCCUAAGGUGAGGCUGCGUGGAGGGAGGGCAGGGACUGGCUGCGGGGCUGUGUCAGAUGCAUGUUCCUAAAACUUCAAUCGGAGACACAUCAAGUGUUGUCAGUUUGUGUUGGUGCCGAGGCUGGAAGGAUGGUUAGAACCAUGGCCUGGGCAGGGGCUAUCGUGAGACAGUACCCCAUGUAAAGCAUGCUCACGGAGGAGGGAAAACCCAAGCUUCCCUAGGAGGGGAGGGGCAGGUGUACCGAGAGGUGGAGGCCAGGGAUGCUGAGAUGCCAGCAGGGAGCCAUGGGUGCAGUGAAUGCUCACUCUCCAUUGAAGCCACACUCCUGUGUGCUCUGAACAGCACCCUCUGUGGCUUAAUAUGAAUAGCUUCCUGCUACUUAAACCCAGCAUAAUCCACAAGGGACCAUCAAAGAUGGGACACUGUUGCACACUCUGAGUCACAUGCCACAGGGGCCCCUAGCACCCUGCAGCCACCUGGCCCUAUUCAGCCACCCCAACUCCCCCAACCAUCCGGCCACACACUGCACUUGCCCCACCAGGGACUGGUUCCAGGGACCCCCAUGGACAGGGGUUCUUCCAAUUCAACACCCAAACCACCUGCCUUUCUUUUUUGUGUGUGCAGA